CCCUUGCCUUUUUUAAUAUUUUUUUAGUAUGAUUUACAUAAUGAGUACUCUUAGGUGUCUUAUAUUUCAAUCUCUCAUUUUUUUGCACACACAUGUUCAAAAGUUAAUUAAUUGAUUAUUUUUUUAAUGUAUAUUAUAAGAUAUUUUAAACAAUUCACAUUCUCGAGGGAGAGAGUUGAGGAUGAAAUGCAUUAAAAAUAACUCAAAAAAACUCAACUUCUAGGAACUUCAAUUAAGCGGCA
rnacentral:lncRNA from 1 species